AAUUUCAUGAGCUAGAUUCGGUUCCGAGACAUACAUCCAUAAAUUCCACGCAGAGACGAAGACCAGAUCAUCAAAAACGCGUAAAAGCGAGAAGAACCCCUUGGAGGCUGAUCGAUUUCUUGAGCUCCUCUCAUCGGCGCCGGCGCUCUCGUAUCGGUUUCCUUGUUAACCGAUCUCGAUUCCUCUUGCCGGUAAGGCCUUCCGAUACCUGUGAAUUUCUCGCGGGUUCCUACAGAAAUCGAGGUUCUAGGGUUUCUGUUAUUCGCCGAUUUGCUAUCUGAUUGAUGUUCUUUGAUCUGCGUGUGUGUGUGUACAUUUGUAAUUGAAUUUUUAGUGAAUUGUAUUAUCUCUGUGUCUGUGCUGAUUGAAUUAGGGUUUGCAAGGGAAAAAUAUUGAAUUUUUUUGUUGUUUUGGGAGUGGGGAUUGUUUAGGGUUUGAAAAAAAAAAAAUUAAUUUGAUAAAGUUGAAAGUGAUUUGGAUUCAGGGUUUGAAAUUUGUUGGGGGGUUUUUGUGUUUUGAUUUCAAUUGUUGAGUUUGAUCACUGAUUAAGGAGAGCUAUGGUUGUUAAUCAUAUGGCGACAGGGCAAGUCGAUUGUUUGAGAAGAAGGGAUUCUUAUAAUUACUCAAAAAGAGAAUUUGAGUAUUAUAGGAAUGGAGUUUCUCGUGGUGAAGUAGGUCAUGGUCGCAGUGAUGGUGUCAAACAUAGGAAUGGAGUCCAUCAAUCUUUCAAUGUGCGCGAUGCACGGGGAUCUGGGCAGCUACCAAAUGCCCCAGAGCCAUUGCAUAAGAAUGGCAAAACCCGGAGGAGUGAAGAUGCUGUUCAAUCACCUCCUGAGAAGAAGAGGAAGUUUUCUCCUAUUAUAUGGGACAAAGAAGAGAAGGAAGUGAGAGUCCCAUCAAAAAAUGGAGUUGUUCCUCUUAUUCCUCUGCCCACUCCUCAUCCAAAUGUAGCAAGAUUACCUGCUAUUGCUAAGGUUGAGGAUGUUGUUUCUGUUGGAGUUCUUUCCAAGUCUCCAGCUAGAAUGGUGGAGUCUGUGGAAGUGGAGGUUUCCGAAAUUUCUGAUGUGUCUCGAUUAGAGGCACCAGCUGAUCUCUCUGCGCCACUACAUUUGCAGAAGGUCGGGGAAGAUGAGCAGGCCCAAAAGAACAAGGAAGACAAGGAAUUUUUCUAUCAAUGUGACAUCUCAUUGUCAAAAUGGUCAUCUGAUGGUGAUUCUCCAAGGGAUAUUUCUGAUGACAGCUCGCCUGAAAGUGGGGAGAUCCGAAGAGAAGGCUAUGGGUUGAGUCGGGCUAGAAUUUUAGGCUCUGACAAAGAAGACAGCUUUGAGAAGCCUGGCAGUGGAGAUAGACUUCAUGGAGACAAGUUAUGUGAUGAUGCGCACAUGGAUGCUGAUAAUUAUGCUGGGAUUGCUGACUAUAGCCAGAUGUACUCUGAUUCAGAGGAUGAUUCUGAUCUUCCUCAGAUUGAAGAGCCUGCAAUGCCUACACAAAAACUUAUAAACAUGCUUCAAGGUUGCAGAAGUGUGUUUGAGUAUGAAAGGCUCAACCAUAUAAGUGAAGGCACUUAUGGUGUUGUCUUUAGAGCCAGAGAUAAAAAGACCGGAGAAAUUGUAGCAUUGAAGAAGAUGAAGAUGGAUGUCGAUAAGGGAUGUGAUGGUUUCCCCAUGUCAGCUUUGAGAGAAAUCAACAUUCUUUUGUCGUUUAAUCACCCUUCUAUUGUCGGUGUUAAGGAAGUUGUUGUGGAUGACUUUGAUGGUGUUUAUAUGGUUAUGGAGCAUAUGGACCAUGACCUCAAGGGGCUAAUGGAGUCAAUGAAGCAGCCAUUUAGUGUAGGCGAAGUUAAGUACUUGAUAAAACAACUUUUGGAGGGUGUAGAGUCUCUUCAUGAUAAUUGGAUCCUUCACAGAGAUCUGAAAACAUCAAAUAUUCUUUUGAACAUGGAGGGUGAGUUGAAAAUAUGUGACUUUGGGCUGUCACGACAAUAUGGGAGUCCACUGAAGCCAUAUACUCCUUUGGUUGUCACAUUGUGGUACCGAGCACCCGAAAUUCUAUUAGGUGCAAAACAGUACUCUACAGCAAUUGAUAUGUGGUCAGUAGGUUGUAUAAUGGCUGAAUUGUUGGCCAAGGCACCUCUCUUUAGUGGGAAAGAUGAAAUUGAGCAGCUUGACAAGAUCUUCAAAACGCUCGGUACACCAGAUGAAAAAAGUGGUUUAUCUAAAUUGCCAGGCUUCAAAGCUAAUUUUGUUAAACAACCGUACAAUCUUCUGCGCAAGAAAUUUCCUGCCACAUCUUUCACUGGAUCAUGCCCAGUGCUCUCUGAAUCUGGGUUUGAUUUGCUGAAGAGGCUCUUAUCUUAUAACCCUGCGGAGCGAAUAACGGCGAAGGAUGCCCUUAACCAUAACUGGUUUCGCGAGUCCCCGGAACCGGGAAAGGAUUUCAAGCCAAUUACUCCCGAUCAACAUGUUCAAGACCGGCACCUUCGCAGCAGGCAUCGUGAGAAAAUUUUACAGCAAUAAUCUUGGCCUGUUCUUUUUUCAGUUCUUUAUAUUUUGCUAACGUGACCAUCAGGGAGCUGAAAAAGUACAUCACAGACCUGUACUGUAGGUCCUUUAGGAUAGCUGGAGCGAAGGAGUUGCAAGGGCUGUCAGUUGGCACUAAUGGUUUAUCCUGUUAAGAGCACCUUAAUAGCGAUGCAGUCUUUGUAUAUGAAGUGAUUCUGGGCUUUAAAAGAAUGGGAGGGUGCAUUAUUCGCAUUUCACACUUGAAGACAGGAAUUUCCGCAAUCGAAUUAGCUUGCCAUGGCAAAUGGAGAAUUUGCUUGCCUGCAGCUAGAUCAUUCAGCUGGUAAGCGUUUUUUAUUUUUCCUUAUCAAUUUGUGAAUAUAGGGGCAGCAGUUGUACCUUUCGCCAUGUGUAGUGUGCAUAGGAUAUUUACGGUUUAUAUUUUACAUCAAUCUUAUGCCGAAUCAGUUGAGAAUUGUGAUGUUGUAGAGUUUCUGGUAAUGGGUAUUUUUAUAAUGUGGAGUGUUUGUCCUUGAACCUCCAUCAAUUGCGAACAUAUCUACUCAAUUUGCAACUAUUUGGAUCGAGAAAUGUUCACUGUAUGCUGGUUGGAUAUCCCAUUGUGUCCCCAGUGCAAUUAGUUGAACAUAUAAAAAUUUUAGCUCUGAUUUUCUGAAAUAGAGACUGCUGGUGACUCAAAGCAUAAUGAAAGAUGUAGACUGAUUAAAAAAAAAUGAAGAAAAUAAAGAUAUGUGAAUUAAGAUGUUUACCGUGCUCUCCAUGUGCCUUAAUUUUCUGAAAUCGUGUCGAGUUAAAAGGUAUGCUGGUUGAAUUGGUAUUGUCACAAUGUUGCAUGGUAUGAAUUCAUGUCAUGUAUAUGCCCUAUAUGAGCUCAAUGUUGUGCAAGUAGUUGUCUGAAAUUUACAUGCCCGGUUCUCCUCAUAGCCUGUGCUUUUUAUUAGCAGCUAGAUCAGAGCUUUCUGCCAAGCAUCAGAAGGAAAAAUUACGUAAUGUUGCUUAUGGUAAUUGUGUUUGUCUUUUCAGUUUUUACUGUUUUAGAACACCGGAGAUCCGGUUUUGUACUUCACGCUUUCGUUCUCUGUGAACUCCUUUUAUGCAGGAUGCGUUUAUAACUUUUACCCUUGCCUAUUUACGGUGACGGAUAUCUUCUAUUCGUGCAUUUGCCAAGUCCCAAUAGGAUUUUUGAUAGGGAAUCAUAUCAAAAUUCCGUAAUCCAUCGUGUCCUUUCGCAUCGGUCUCCUAUCAUCUGGCAGUUUAGAUGUUUCUAGCCGAAUUAUUUGUAUUAUUUGAAUGAUUUUUUGUUUUUUUUUUUCUGUAUAUUUCGGUGGUGGUUUGUAAAUGUUAUGCUUGACGAAACAGAAUGUAUGUAGGAGGGAAGUGUUUUAUUACAAAUUUGCAAGUGAAUUGCAAGUG